rnacentral:lncRNA from 1 species
UUAGAUUAAUUUAUAUCAUUAAGAUAGUAUAAACACAAAACUAAAAAAAAUUGAUUCGGCAUCUUCAAUAAUCACCAUGGCUGAUAAUAACAAGACAUGGAGCAGCAUCAAGGAGAUCGUUUUAAUCGCAGCCAUGGUUUUAUCUUCUGCUUCUUACACAGGUAAGAAGAAACAACUUAGUGUUACAAAGUAUUGAUUCCAUAAACUUUUAUGUAAAUUAUGGCUCUGUUUCAUGCAUCAUCCUCCAUAUAUUGUAAGUAAAUAAAGUGAUGUUUUUGCUUCUAUGAUUGCAAUAUCUGAAGCAUAUAAACUCAUGCAUCUCUUUCAUUGAUUCUCCAAAUGAAUAAUCAUAUAGAGAGAUUUGUCUCUGUAACUAACUACUUAGUUAGACUGCGAUCAAUCUUUGGGUUUAGAUAUAAACUAAGCUUCUUCUAGGCUACGACGAAUCAUCGAUAAAAUCGAAGGCGAAGGUUUUCAUUGUUUUUGUUUUUUAUCUUCCUUGGACAAGACCACUAAAGACUUGGCUAUUUCCAGCAAGAGUUGCUUCCCAUUCAAUUGAAGAUAGGAGUAUCUGCGAGAGAGAUAUAACCACUUGCUUCAUGUUUGGUCUUAGAAUCGGAUCAUCA